rnacentral:lncRNA from 1 species
UGCCGCUGAGCUGACUUGGCCUCAUUCUGUAUCUCUUCAGAGGCUUAAUGCAGAUCCAUAGGUACCUGGCAUAAAUGGACUAAAGUUCAGCUGUUACUGGAAUUCUGGGGUGGAACAGGCUCCUCGUUGAGUGGAAACCCUCUCUGUUCUUAGAAAUAAUGAAAAGGAGAUGACCAAGGGGAAGCCUGGGGCAGAAGUGUCCUACAGUGUUCUCUGGGUGCAGAAUAGUGAACACAGUGCUUGGGGUGGUGGUGGUGCAGUUCUCAGAUAAGGCAUUAUGAGCACAGUGGUUGCUGUGUGAUAGUGAGGACACACCGUGUCACACACAGAGCCACGACAGCCAUGGGGCACGGAGCCUUGGAGAGGACGUCCCCUCUCAGCCCACAGUGGACACAGACUCUGCUGUGACUGAGUUUUCAGGAAAUAAUCAACACCAUGUGAAGCUCUAGGUUGAAGAAUAGGCUUCAGUGGCUCUUGAAGGAGGCAAGUCGAGCUCCCCGGGGGUCAAGGGAGCCAGUGGCGAUCCAGUCUGGGAGAGAGCCCUCCGGAAGAACUCAAGGAAUGGAAAUUCAGAGCCACGGGACAAGACACUGACAUCGCAUAAGAAGCGAGAAUGGUUGAAAACUCAGGAAAAAAAAAAAAAAAGAGAUAUUCUCGGGUUUUACCUACAAAGCCAUGGUACAGCUUUUCUAGCUCC